UACGUAGGGGGGCUAGCGUUGUCCGGAUUUAUUGGGCGUAAAGAGCGUGUAGGCGGCCAGAUAGGUCUGCUGUGAAAACUCGAGGCUCAACCUCGAGAUGUCGGCGGAAACCAUUUGGCUAGAGUCCGGAAGAGGAAAGUGGAAUUCCUGGUGUAGCGGUGAAAUGCGCAGAUAUCAGGAGGAACACCGGUGGCGAAGGCGGUUCUCUGGACAUUUCCUGACGCUGAGGCACGAAAGCCAGGGGGAGCAAACAGG
rnacentral:rRNA from 1 species